rnacentral:rRNA from 1 species
CAAGCCGCGGUAAUUCCAGCUCCAAUAGCGUAUAUUAAAGUUGUUGCAGUUAAAAAGCUCGUAGUUGAACUUCGGGGUUUACCCAUUGGUCAGGCUUAAUUGUCUGUACUGGUGAGAUAAAUCUCUACCUUCUGAGGAACUUUCAUGUCAUUAAUUUGGUGUGAUUGGAAAUCAGGACUGUUACUUUGAAAAAAUUAGAGUGUUUAAAGCAGGCUAACGUCUGAAUACAUUAGCAUGGAAUAAUGAAAUAGGACGGACUGAUUCUAUUUCGUUGGUUUCUAGGAUCACCGUAAUGAUUAAUAGGGAUAGUUGGGGGCAUUAGUAUUCAAUUGUCAGAGGUGAAAUUCUUGGAUUUAUUGAAGACUAACUACUGCGAAAGCAUUUGCCAAGGAUGUUUUCAUUAAUCAAGAACGAAAGUUAGGGGAUCGAAGACGAUCAGAUACCGUCGUAGUCUUAACCAUAAACUAUGCCGACUAGGGAUCGGACGAAGUUAAUUUUAUAAUGACGCGUUCGGCACCUUACG